CGGCCGCAAGGUUAAAACUCAAAUGAAUUGACGGGGGCCCGCACAAGCGGUGGAGCAUGUGGUUUAAUUCGAUGCAACGCGAAGAACCUUACCUACUCUUGACAUCCAGAGAACUUAGCAGAGAUGCUUUGGUGCCUUCGGGAACUCUGAGACAGGUGCUGCAUGGCUGUCGUCAGCUCGUGUUGUGAAAUGUUGGGUUAAGUCCCGCAACGAGCGCAACCCUUAUCCUUUGUUGCCAGCGGUUCGGCCGGGAACUCAAAGGAGACUGCCAGUGAUAAACUGGAGGAAGGUGGGGAUGACGUCAAGUCAUCAUGGCCCUUACGAGUAGGGCUACACACGUGCUACAAUGGCAUAUACAAAGAGAAGCGACCUCGCGAGAGCAAGCGGACCUCACAAAGUAUGUCGUAGUCCGGAUCGGAGUCUGCAACUCGACUCCGUGAAGUCGGAAUCGCUAGUAAUCGUAG
rnacentral:rRNA from 1 species